rnacentral:rRNA from 1 species
UAAAGCGCGCGUAGGCGGUUUGUUAAGUCGGAUGUGAAAGCCCUGGGCUCAACCUAGGAACUGCAUCCAAAACUAACUCACUAGAGUACGAUAGAGGGAGGUAGAAUUCAUAGUGUAGCGGUGGAAUGCGUAGAUAUUAUGAAGAAUACCAGUGGCGAAGGCGGCCUCCUGGAUCUGUACUGACACUGAGGUGCGAAAGCGUGGGUAGCGAACAGGAUUAGAUACCCUGGUAGUCCACGCCGUAAACGAUGACAACUAGCUGUUGGGAGACUAUGUCUUUCAGUGGCGCAGCUAACGCUUUAAGUUGUCCGCCUGGGGAGUACGGCCGCAAGGCUAAAACUCAAAUGAAUUGACGGGGACCCGCACAAGCGGUGGAGCAUGUGGUUUAAUUCGAUGCAACGCGAAAAACCUUACCUACUCUUGACAUACUUGGAAGCUCUUGUAAUGAGAGUGUGCCUUUUGGAACCAAGAUACAGGUGCUGCAUGGCUGUCGUCAGCUCGUGUCGUGAGAUGUUCCGUUAAGUCGGAUAACGAGCGCAACCCUUACCCUUAUUUGCCAGCGAUUCGGUCGGGAACUAUAAGGGGACUGCCGGUGAUAAACCGGAGGAAGGUGAGGACGACGUCAAGUCAUCAUGGCCCUUACGUAUAGGGCUACACACGUGCUACAAUGGGGAAUACAGACGGACGCUAAGCCGCGAGGUGGUGCUAAUCCUAGAAAACCGUUCGUAGUCCGGAUUGGAGUCUGCAACUCGACUCCAUGAAGUCGG